GAUCGUCUUUUUUAACUUCAACAAUUAGAUUUAAGUUAGAUGUUUUGUUAUUGUUACUUGCUACUUUGUAGUAGCUAGGCCAAGUCACAUCUGACUUAGUUAUGUUUGUAAUAUGUGAUAUUCUUGUAUGUAAAUGAGAAGCUUCAAACGUACAUCAAGUUAUGGAGUCGCAGAAAAGAACGAAAAAGAAAAAGAAAAAGAAAAAGAGCAAACAAAUUAUUUAGGAUGACCGAAAUUGGAGGUACUGAAGGUGCUUCUGGACCUGCUUCUGCUUUUGAGGUUAUGUUAUGCUGUUUGGUAAAUUGUCUAGGAAGUGCUUUUGGUCCAGUUUGCUUCUCCUAGAAUCUGAAAUUGAGAAGCACCCAAGUACCAGCUUUGGGAAGCUGCUUCUGUCAAAACACGGAGUGAACAGUAUUGAUUAAAUGAAAGUUUCUCCUUUUUCCUAUUAUGUCCUCAUCUUUUCUAUAGGGUUUCGUUUCUUCCUUCUCUCUUCCCAGAUCUCUCUUCCCAGCCUCCUCCUCAAAACCAUCGAUCUCAAAAACCAUCGGUUUCUAUAGAAAGCGAUCUCUCAAGAGGAUUCAAAACCCAACUCCGUCACUCCUCCGCGGCACGCUCCAAACCCAAAGCAUUCCCGGAUCGAUCUCUCUGUCUCUUCAAAACCCAGCUCCUCAUCGAUGGUUUUUGGGACAUGAGUGCAAGAGAUCGAGGUCAUGCUGAAGAUCAAGUUUGAUAUAUGAUAGUGCAGCAAUUUGAGAGUUUGAAGAGGAUGUAGUAGUGUGUACUUUUUAGUUCUCAUUUGGUUUCCUUUAAGAUAUGUUUACAGUACUUUUGUAAAACGAUAAAUCAUGAAGUUUGUAGUUUUUCAUAAUUGAGACCUUAAUCCAUGUGCCUUGUACUA